AGGAAUUUUUUCGAAGCGGAGCCCCACUCUACAUAUAGACCGUACAAUACAAUCCAGCUAAAGCCUAACGGCCCCAAAAACCACUCGCCUUACCGUUAUUUCUGCCAACUUUCCCUCCCUCCUCUCCCCCUGUUUUAUCGUAAACAUGUCCGUCUCAAAUCCCUCCAAAAACUUUGCAAAUCUCUGCAAUCCGGCUCGGCUAUUCUUCUUUCUUAUUAUUCUUCUUCAAAAUUUGUAUUCAGAGUCACCGAUUUAUAGGGUUUCUCUUCCAAUGCGGUUCGUAUAUAGGCACAAACUAUCCAUCAAAUAACCAGGAGGCGUAAAUUUUGGACCAAUGGCAAAUCGGAUGAACGAAGGCGAUAGAAUUGAAAGGACUAUCCGCAGUCUUUUGAGGCUUCCUGAGAAUAAAAGAUGUAUAAAUUGCAACAGUUUGGGGCCACAAUAUGUUUGCACAACUUUCUUGACAUUUGUUUGCACGAAUUGCAGUGGAGUGCAUCGAGAAUUCACUCACCGAGUAAAAUCAGUAUCAAUGGCUAACUUCAGUGCAGAAGAAGUUAGUGCCCUUCAAGCAGGGGGAAAUGAGCGAGCAAGGCAAAUUUAUUUUAAAGCCUGGGAUACUCAGCGUCAUCCUUACCCUGAUGCAAGCAAUGUUCAAAGACUCCGAGAGUUUAUUAAGCAUGUCUAUGUGGAUAAAAAAUACACCGGAGUGAAGAGUUUGGACAAGCUCCCAAGACUGAGAUUGAAUGAAAAGGAGUCGUCUUAUGAAAGUAGGAAGGUUAGUGCAUAUCGUGGUGGAUCUAGAAGCUCAGGUUAUGAGGACAGAUACACACGGCAUUAUAGCGAAAGAUCUAGUCCUGGUCGAAGAAGUGAGGAUGGAAAUUCCAAAUAUCCUUAUGACGAAAGGAUAAGCCCUCGAUAUCCCCAAGAAAAUUCAACAUAUGGAGAUCUUAGGAGAAGUCCUGCCAGCUUUGAGGUUGUGGAUGACAGGUUUCGAGAUGGUGAGUAUGGACGCCGUAGGGCCUCAAAAACAGAAUCUAAGAUACGAAGCAAGCCGCCUAACUUUGAAAAGAACACGGAUAGGUCCCAUUCUCCGGUGGUACACAGUGCUAGAGUUAGUUUGGGAGACACUGUUUCUCCUCUACAGGUUGGUGAGCUUUCUAAGGCAAUUGAUGGGAAGGAUGCUGAUGGUUCUGCCAAUACUCAGAAAAUUGCUUCUUCCAGUGACCUAUGUUCCACUGCUAGGAGUCCAGCAGAACAUAAACAGAGAAGCUCAGGAAGCUUGAUUGAUUGGAGCCCUGAUCCUAAUCCUCUUGAUGCUGGAACCAUAUCCCAGACACAUCAGAUGCCUCCCUCGGAUAGGGGUGGCAACUGGGUCUCAUAUCAGCAUCCUGAAAAGAGGGCAUUUCAAGCUCCAACAAACACCUUGGAAUCCUUAUUAUUCGAAUUUUCAGCACCCUCAGUUGUACCUGCUAGUGACAUGUCUGAAGGGCCUAGCAAUGAUGAUUCACUAUCAGCUGCAGCCAGAGGCACCAUCCCUGCAGGUGUACAGCAGAUGUCAGCAUUACCCAUUAGUGUCAGCACUUUUACAACUGCAUCAACUAGUCACUGUAAGCCAGCAGAACCUUUUAAUGGGGGUCCUCCACAAGUUGCACCUAGUGGCAAUGGUGACUCUACUAAAAUACCUGAAGAACAGAAACUAUACAACAUGCAGCAAUGUCAUCAUACUGCAUCCCCUGAGGCAGAUGGUAGCCCUAUCAGGCAACAGACUAACCCACCUGUUGGACCUCCAAAUAAUCAGCUAUGGAUUUCCUCAAUUCCACCUAAUGAACAGAGCCCUUUGAGCGUCCCUGCGGAACAAUCUUCUCAAGCUGAUUCAAAAUCAGCUCAAGACAUCAGUCCUGGAGUUGGAUCUGAACCUCUUUCAGUGGAAACUAAUGGAAGAAAGGAACUUCCUGCUGACCUUUUUACUGCAAGCUACACAACAGUCACUGCACCAGUCGCGGGUUGGCAAAAUGGUUCUCCUUAUGGCAUGGGAUUCAGCAUGCAGUAUUAUUCUAAUGCAACGCCCAUUCCAGCAUUUCCCAACCCUGCAAGAUCAACAAACCCAUUUGACCUUGAUAACAAAAGAACUCAAGUGAAGGCGCCACCAGUAUGCACAACACAUUCAAACUGAUACAAUUCACUACAUUCACUGUUUAUAUUUUUCUUCAUCCAAGUGUCCUUUUGGACAUUUGACUACUUCUUAAAUUUUAAGUUGUGCUUAUUUAGUCCUUGUAGGAAGUCUUUUAUCUUGUAUCUUUAGCCAGCUAAGAAGUGCUGGAGUAGAGAAGCCAAAAACUAGAGCAGGAUGUGCGUCUGGGAAAUCGACUGAUAUUGAAAUUGAGAUUCCUAUACAAUACACACCACAUAACAAUUCUGAUUAUUCUGAAUAACGAAAAAAACAUUAUUAUCUCAUAUUAUGUCCUCUAGGUGAUUAGACUGGAAUGUGAUCAAUCACUUGCAACGUGGUGUCUCCCACUGCAUUUUUGUUAUUCAUAUUCUUGAGAAUCUGUUCACCACUUAAAAGAAUGGUUUGUAUACAUUAAUUUUGGAGACAAGUGGCUGUGCUAAUAUAUCUAUUGGUUUUCCAUAAACAUGUAGAUGAUAGCUAUAUUGCAUAUGGCAUUAAAAAAAGGCUAUAUCACAUGCAAAUUUAAUGCUAUGGCAAAAAUUAUCGAGACUCUUGGACUCUUGACAGUAUGAUGACAAUGUUUACUUACUGGUGUGAGUAGAAACAGGCGAACUGUAAAGUGAAGCAGAAGUUGAUCCUUCUAGUAUUAAGCCCGAGGCUUUUCUAUUUACUGAAGACUUUUCUGUGAAAACAUGAAACUCACAUUUUUCUUCCAUGGCAUCCGUGCAAGGUGCAUUGCCAAAUGUGACACCUGCUAGUGGCUUAUUGUAUACUCCAAGCCUUGGUAUCCAGUCUUCGGGUUUGAUGGCACCUCAAUCACCAUCUUAUGCAUCUGCAAUGCCA